UAUAACCCAGCAGCAGCUCAGUAUUUAAUACCGGUUCCUCGCCGUAUGUUAACGCACGUUAUAUCCCCGCGUUUCGCGCCCGCAGUCGUGAGAGCCUUUGUUCGACUGUAAGGCAAACAUGUCAGCGCUCAGCCCCGAACGCGUCUGCGGCCCGCUCUCUCCCCUCUGGAGGCCCGCGCGCUACCCGCGCGCCUCUUCACGCCGCCACAUACUGUUACUAUUAGAUUCUUUCCCCGCGCGCCAUUCGCUUGUCUAACCGGCGGUGUCUGUUUCCAAAGUUGAUGCGGCAGCUGAACGUCUUAAGCGCCGCAUGGACGCCGCCUGCCGUGUGGAAGGCAGCUCACCUUAAUCACCCUAAUUGUCUCCCCCCCCAUAUAAUAUUCUACGUGGCGUUUCGCCAGUUCUUCCCAACACCGCGCGAACAGUCCGCGAUUAACAAUUCCCGUCGCCGUUGUGCUGUAACUAAAGAGCCCGGCCUGUGAGCCUCAACCGACCGGGAAUCCGCACGGUUUCUCAGCCUCGGACGCCUUUUCUUAUCUCGUAUUUGUAGCGUUGGUUUUUUUCCGAUGUUUGUAAACAGGAGGCACCCGCCUCCAUUUUCCCCUUCCUACGACGUCCGUUAUAUGCCGGCCCGAAGCCUUUGAAUUGUAAUCAAAGCUUGUGCUCCGUGCUGAUAUGCAAGGUGUAGCAUCUCGUAAGCGUGCGUGAUGUGAGGGAGGGCCUGAGUUAUGAUGUACCUCCAGCGCGAUGCUCCUGACCCGGCCAGACCCGGUUAAUGCUGAUCUGGCAGACUUUGCACGGAGCUUUCAUCGAGCCCCGGCUGUACAUGCAGACAGUACCGGGCCUGCGUGGCCCAUAGGCGGUGGUGUUUGAGGUGUAUGAGCAGGUGACUGAAGGGGAAUCAGUCAUUAGGAACUCUGCGUGUGUGCUAGAUUUGGAUGGGUGACUGCUAACCCUUAGCGUGACUUCUGCGUGGUACUGCCAGCUCAUGGCUUAAUUAACAUGUUCUUUGUCUGUGUCUGGCUUUCCCCAACUAGAGGUAGCCAGUCAUUUCGGAUAACUGUCACCAUAGAUGGGGUCGCUGGAUUUGAUGCUGGGCCUUAUCCCUGCUUAUGGGAAGGGGGGGGUGUUGAUCUUCAUCGCCCACAAUGUUUCAGACUCUGUUUGAGAGAGGCAGCCAGCCGUGUGUUACAGCUAGACAGGUCGGUGUUUAAAAUGGGGGGGUGUUUGAAACACCGAAUAAAUGUCAUUGGUGCAGGAGGAGCAAAUACCAUACAUGCCAGUAGGUCUACAUUGGUCUGGCAAACAAGAGGGACAUUUGAGGAAGAGAUGGUGGCCAUGCCUGUUGGAGUGUGUCCACCGUGCGCUGCUGCCCGUCCGCUUACCUCUCCGCAGGGUGAUUCUAGGGGGGCAGUCACCUUCCAGCGGUGUCUCUCUUUAGCACCCCCCCCCUCCCCAUAGGUUUCUUCAGUCUAAGUACUGUAACCAGCACAUCAAGUCUGCUCUUAGAGCACUUCUGUUAAGUGGCUAAGCAUUUGACCAGAAUGCUGCUGGUUCCAGAUUGAACAGAAGUUUAGGUUAAAGGUGCGGAAUCGUCGUAACGAUGCCUGGCCACGCAGAUGGAAGCACAUCAGUAAUUAUAGUGAGUUGGAUGUCAGAACACGAGAUCGCAAGCUUGGGCGUCUGCUGGCACAGGCUGUGGGUUACCUGCCUUUUGUUGGACAAGAACUGAAUAGGAUGAGCUGGUGAGAUGUUAUGGACCAGUGUACCGUCCUCUGACAGAUUAGGCGAUCGAGGUCUUUUCUGAUCUAAUGAAGGUUGUUUAUAUUAGCUCUUGUUCUGUAUAUCUUCUCUUAAUCUUGGCAGUUUAAUCUGGGGGGCAGGUGGGGGUCGCUGUGGAAGCCAGGAAGCAGAACGUUCAGAAUGGGCCUGGUUAGUCCAAGCACCUAUGUUUAACAUGAUAGUCCGAUGUCUCCUGCUGGAAGUUGGAGUGGUAUUCCGUGGGAGGAAAAUGGAGCACAUCUCCCAUUUACUGUGUUUUGAGUUGGUAUUUGUGUUAAAAUGUGGUUUCCUUAGCUUGGUACAUGGGGCGUAUAACAUGCUUCCCCUGUCCCCUUGGGAGAUGGCACUCUGGCUGGAGAUACCACUAGAAACGCAUGUAUCUCCGCAUGUAUGCUCAGGAAACCACAGAUGCAGGUCUUCCUCUUUGCAGGGCUCUCACGAGAGGCGCCCAGCCUGCAUAGCAGCCUUCAGAAUGACACUGGUUGUGUUCAGGUGUGUGGUAGCACAGAGAAUCAGAUGUCUUCAGAAAUGUAGCUGUAUAAGCUGGUUACCUGUAACAAAUGUCAUUUAUUCCUCACCUAGCUAUGAUGCUUGUCUUAUCCUCCACUUUCUACACCCCAGUCUCUGCUUGGAAUGUUCUGUACUUUUCCCAUAUCGCAGUCAGCCUUAGACACCCAGGGGAUGUACUGGAUCGUCACCAGCAGUAUGCAGUCACACUCUCUGGAUAAUUUAGACACAUCAGUUCAAGUAUACGUUGGGUCUUUGGUUUUCAGACAUGGUUUAGAACAGGGGUUGGCAUCUAACUAGUGCCUGUACCCAGCAGUUUUUCCAUUCUACCUGGUCUCUGAUGGACCACACCUGAUCUCAGGCCGAUAGUAACUCAUCAAGUAGGAUGGAAAUCCUGCUGGAACCUGACACUCCAGGAUCAGGGCUGCCUACUUCUGGUGUAGAGUAGCAAGAGAAAAACGGUGCAAACAGAGAGAACAUGCAACCUCCAAAGAGUGGAAUCAAACUCACAGCCGUGAGCAUGUUAGGCUGCGGAGCCUCCACUGCAGAAUGACAUCGUAGGCAGCCUGGCCUAGCUUAUUGUCUUCAAAGUUUCUGUUCUGUUUGAUUUGGCUAAACUGGUGUGUGCAUUUUCAACCAGGUGCAAUUAUCAGCUUUUGUUCUUUUUUAUCGCUGCUCUUUAAUGUGUAUUUAAAAUGAAAAUGAGGCAGUUGUGCUUUGACUGUUAAAGCUGCUCAUUCUGCUGGAUUGACCUCAGCACAGCUGGUCAUUGAGUUCUGACAAUGGAGAAUGUAUGGUGACCUAUAGGAGCUGGUAAAUGUUUGGUAAAAACUGGCGACGUUGGAAAAUGCUAGCUUAGAGCCUGGUAAAUUUUCCCAGCUCGUCAGAAAUCUGCCAUCAGCAUAUACCAGGCAGUCGCAAAAGCUGUUUCUGGUACCUCAAGCAAAUGUCACUGGACAGACAUUUCAAGAGGAGUCUGGUGUGUACUGUGUCUGGGGAAAAAUUACACCACUGUUCAGCGAUGAGUCUGAAGUUGUGGAAUUUUUCACACCGUGGUGGAGCUUUGGGCAGGGUUUGCAGAACUUGUUGAACGUGUUUGAAUGAAUCUGCCUUUGUUUUAGAACUCUACAAAUCCCAUAUCGGGCAUGGAGAUGUAUCGUCUUGUAUCUUUCUCCUUGUUUCUGGCUUAUCUGAAAUCUUCCAUGUCUCAGACUAA